rnacentral:rRNA from 1 species
AACGUAGGAGCCGAGCGUUGUCCGGAAUCACUGGGUGUAAAGGGUGCGUAGGCGGGCUUGCGCGUCAAGGUUUAAAGACCUCGGCUCAACCGAGGGAAUGCCCUUGAUACGGCAGGUCUUUGGCGCGGGGGAGGAUGGUGGAAUUUCCGGUGUAGCGGGGAAAUGCGGAGAGAUCAGGAGGAACACCGAAGGGGAAGGCAGCCAUCUGGACCGCCACUGACGCUGAGGCACGAAAGCGUGGGGAGCAAACAGG